AUUUCUCAAUUUUCUCUCUCUCUUUCUAGAGACAAGGUUUAGUUUGUUAUUGUUGCUGCAAUUCCAGCCAAAAUUACAACACACCAAACUCCUUCACAAACUGUCUUAUACAAUCCAAGAAGAGCAGUUCCAUGGUCACAUAUUAUCAAGAAUCUCUCUAAUUUGUAUGCAUGUAUGUUUUUUCGAUUUUUUGUUCUUUUGAAUUGAUCAUCAUUUUUCUUUUUAAGUUUUCAUUUGAUUACUGUUCAUGUAGACAGGCAUGGUAUUAAUUUUGUUUGAAGAUAUCUUCCAGAUGAUGGUCAAUUAGCUUCUGUGGAAGUAUGCUUGUUCGAAGAUACCUUCCAGAUGAUGUUCGAAGGCAUGGCAUGCGUGUUUUAAAUCAAAAUCUCUCUAAUUUCUGUGGAAGUAUAUGUUGUUGGAUUUUGUUUAUUGCUAUAGGCUUGGUGUUUAAAUUUUUUUUUUUCAAUAUUUCUCGCGCGCACGGAGCAGCUGCUCCAUGUGAGAGUAGCUGCCCUCACUUUAUUUAUUUAUU
rnacentral:lncRNA from 1 species